rnacentral:misc_RNA from 1 species
GAGAACUCUACUACACUUUAAACUUCUAGAGAAAUAUUAGGAUUUAAAUGAACUGUUAGAUUUUAGCAAGGAAACAUAUUACCCAUUCUCUUUGUUGGAAUCUGAAUGAUGAUGAAGGAUUCAAGAAGUAUUUUGCUGCAUUCCACUUGUAUGAUAAAUUUCCAGUUGCAGUGAUUAUUGAUGAUUUUGGAGACCUUUUCGUAGAAAUGUACUCGCUUUCUUGUAAAUUAUUUCUCCAUCUCUCGUAGUUCAUAGUGUGAGAUUAAUAUUACUACCACGUUCAUAUUUUCUUUUAAAUUCUUUUUGUUUGUCUUUUACUUGCAAAAUUUUCUAAGGAGCUGCUAGGAGAUCAUAUAUCAGAAUCCUCGCGGAAGAGACUUAGCAAUAGUUCGGAUUCUCGCGGUUCUUAGCUAACAUCUUUUUAAGCUGUUUGAACAGUGAGAAAGGUCACUGCAAGCUUCUGCUUUCUGAUACCCGCCAUGGAGACUGCCUAAGGUUGCUCUUCGUCUAUAAAAGGUGGGUUCCAUCCAUUUUCACCAUCAAAGGUUGCACCAGAGUAAAACCUGUGAUUUGUGGUCCAGUGCAUCAAAAAUUAAUCUGUGCUCGAUGAAACAAACAUACAUUUCCAUAGUAUCACAGGUAAACUACAAUUCUUUCUGGUGACAUGACUUGUAAAAUCUUUGAAAAACUCGAUCAUGUCAUGUUUUCUUGUACCUUAAUUUUUUUUGUAGUUAUUGAAGUGUUGAAUGCUCACAUCCAGCAUUCCUACUUGUUUAUUUUGAAAUUUUCUCUCUUUGUUCUCCUUUUUAACAGCAGCUUGGAAAGAAAUGUACAUGUUCAACUCAGAGUCUAUUAUUCAACAACUUGGUUAGAUUCAUAUUUAACAAAAUUUUCUACCAAAACUCCUUUUUGUGCUAAGGAUUACAAAAUUCUCCACCAAGAUCACCACAAGCCUCUUCUAUUGUUGGCCUCAUAGCUCCAAACAACGUGAUGAUAACAGAACUUAUGAAAUUGUAUCUCACAAAUGUGCAAGAACUUUUUGAGUCAUAUUUUCAAGCGGCCUGAAAAGAAAUUUGAUGAAAUAAGCAUAUUGUCGGAUUAAGGGUGUCCUGUGUAUGUUUAAAAAAAGGCUCAAGGAUCAAAAGAGUUCUUUUGAACAAUGAAUGUCGACUUGGAGAGCUAAAGCUUUUGCUUUUCUUAUUUCUCUUAUUUUACUUUCAGUAUUUUAAUUUGAUUAUCUUGACAUAUUUGUGUUGGAUUGUUUGGCUAUUAAACUUUUGCUUGCUAUAUUUAAAGAAUUUCUAUGCAAGAUUAGUGCAAGUGUUGAGUUGAUCUUCUGUUGAUUAUAAGUUGUAAAUCAUUUUCAUCUGUUCUACCCCAUUUUGAGUUUCUAAAAUAAAACAUUUUCUGAUUCAUAAGUUUUAUUAGUAAAACUUUGCUCGAGUCUUCUUGCUUCACAUAUACUCAUUUGGUUACAUCUAAAUGCAUAGCGUCAAUUUUUCAUCAAACUUUAAGCAAGAACUGAAAAUUUAUUUACUAUUAAACUCACUACAUUCUUUGGGACAUCUAGGAACACCCUAUAACGAAUCAUCAAGCAUUAAACAGAAAAUCCUUAUCAGGAAUGUAACAACUUUGUUAAAUAUUCUGAAAUCUUACUUCUUGGGACUAUUGUACAGCUAAAUACUGUCUAUAGUGGUAGCAGUAGUGUUUUCGGUAUAACUGAUUUGAGCCUGAUUUCAGGACACAUUUCAACAUCACUAGAUUCCCCUCCCAUUGUCUCGCAAGCCUCAGCUGGG